UACUAACGGCUAUUCAGUAUUUAAACAAGAACAAUUAUUUUAUCUUGCUUGAAUGAUUAUGGAUAAAGUGAUUGUAAUUUAAUUACCAAUAUCCAAAAUGUUUCCUUGCAAAAAUCCUCUCUAGAAUGGAGGCAAGGUGUUGUUGACUUGUAAAAAAAUUGAUUACCUUUCAAUGUGCCAGGAUGUUACAAGUGCCAAAUCUGUCCUUACAAGAUCUGCAGAUGGAUAUCAUUUGUCUGUUACUAUUGUUUGUUAAGAUUUUUUCUUUUACCAAUCUCAUACUUGGUAAAUUUUACCUUGGCCCCAACUCGAAACUUAAAAAAUCAGAAAUACAAAGGCAAGAAUUUAAAUAGAUAAUGCUGUAUAAUGGGAAUAAAAAUGUACAUUGUAUAUUUACAUUUAAAGAGAUAAAUUCUGCCAUUUUGUAAGUAGAUUAUUGUUCUAGCACACAUAAAUGUACCGGUAAGUGUUGAUAAUAGAAAUUUCCCCUUGAUACUAUCUGCAUGUUUGAUGUUCAGUGUCUGUCUUAACUUUUACAGAAAACGCUGUGUGCUUAAUUGUCACAAAUGUAUCUCAGUUCUUUUUUUCUGACGUCAGUUUGUAUCCAAUUGGGUUUUUAUUCCUGUUUAGUGAAUGCUCUGAACCUUAAAAUUUCAAAUGUAUUUAUUGAGAUUUUGAAGAAUUUUGUAUCCUUUGGUUAUGCAGAGUGAUGAAUUUACAAGUAAAAAGGAUGUAUACAUGUAAGGAAUCUCUGUGCUACUUAUACAUGUAUAUAUAAGUAAAAUGCUGUCAUUUUUUCCCCCUUAGAAUGCAGCAAAUUUGUUUUUAAAGAUGGUCUUGAAUUCUCUUUAGAAAUAGGAUUUUUUUCUGUUGUGUGUGUUGUGGGUUUCACAAUUUGUUUACUCAAAAGUCAAGUAUAAAUGAGAAUAAAGGGCCCCCAAUCCCUUAGAUGGUGCAAGCAGAUUUGCAAGUGAAAAUGGUUUGAUAGAACAAUGAAAUUUUAUUUUCAUCUUGGGAAACCAAUGAUUAAAUUAUGUCUAGAAAUCCUGCAUAUAGACAGCUGUAGUGUUACAUUGCUCGACAGAACCUAGCAUCACAUUCAGGGUGUAAUGUGGAAUCAUCAUUGUCCAUGGCAGGUCAAUAAAUCAUGUGGAUUUUGUGGUUACCAAUUACAAGUAUUUUCAUCCCGCCAACUUUGGUAUUGGGUUCAUGUACCAAUGAACAAAAACUUCCUUUCAAUUCAGGAAAGUUACCCACAAAAAAAUUUUAAAACCACCAUCCAGACACUUUUAUUACAACCCAAGAACAUUGACUUGCUAUGAAAUGGAAUGAUUCCACUGCAUGAAAAGAUCCACUUUAUCUUCAGCAUGACAGAAAUCAAGUGUAAACUUGUCAAGUUCAAUAAAUGCUAUGUCAAA
rnacentral:sRNA from 1 species